UAAAGUAAAUGUAAUAAAAGCUUGCGAAAUAAGUAUAGUUCUUUCCAUGCGAGUAAAAAUAAGAUAAAACACGAAUUUAGUGAACGGAGAGGAUUGAAUGCCAGCAGCGUAAAGCUGUAAUUUAAGGAAAAACCAUUCAGUCACUGGAUGAAGGAAACAGAGGUGGCAAAAAAUCGGUAGAUAACGUUGUGCAAAUUGGAGCAAGGCGAAGAGAGGGAAGAGAUUUUAAGUCAAAAAAGCUUGAAAAUAGAGGUUUUAAUUAUAAAAUCCCAAACUGGGAUGCGUUUACUAAAUGUGCUUAAAACAUGUAGGAAAGACCCUAUCAGAAACGGCCAAUUGGAACAACGUAAGUUGUCAAACGAUUCACCGUAGCUUAAAAAA